rnacentral:rRNA from 1 species
AAUUAGAGUUCAAAGCAGGCAUACGCCCUGAAUACUUUAGCAUGGACACGAUAGGACUCUGGCCUAUCUUGUUGGUCUGUAGGACCGGAGUAAUGAUUAAGAGGGCAGUCGGGGGCAUUCGUAUUUCAUUGUCAGAGGUGAAAUUCUGAUUUAUGAAAGACGAACUACUGCGAAAGCAUUUGCCAAGGAUGUUUUUAAUCAAGAACGAAAGUUGGGGGCUCGAAGACGAUUAGAUACCGUCGUAGUCUCAACCAUAAACGAUGCCGACUGGAUUGGCGGAUGUUUUUUUUCCGCCAGCACCUUAUGAGAAAUCAAAGUUUUUGGGUUCCGGGGGGAGUAUGGUCGCAGCUGAAACUUAAAGGAAUUGACGGAACCACCAGGCGUGGAGCCUGCGGCUUAAUUUGACUCAACACGGG